rnacentral:misc_RNA from 1 species
GAUGAAGAACGUAGCGAAAUGCGAUAAGUAAUGUGAAUUGCAGAAUUCAGUGAAUCAUCGAAUCUUUGAACGCACAUUGCGCCCCUUGGUAUUCCGAGGGGCAUGCCUGUUCGAGCGUCAUUAUAACCCCUCAAGCUCAGCUUGGUGUUGGGGCCUGCUGCACUGGCAGCCCUUAAAAUCAGUGGCGGCGCCGUCUGGCUCUAAGCGUAGUAAUUCUUCUCGCUAUGGAGUCCUGGUGGAUGCUUGCCAUCAACCCCCAAUUUUUCUAUGGUUGACCUCGGAUCAGGUAGGGAUACCCGCUGAACUUAAGCAUAUAAUAAGCGGAGGA